AGAAUCAACGCUGGCGGCGUGCCUAACACAUGCAAGUCGCACGAGAAAGUGGAGCAAUCCAUGAGUAAAGUGGCGUACGGGUGAGUAACACGUGAAUCAUCUACCUUCGAGUGUGGAAUAACUGAGAGAAAUCUUAGCUAAUACCGCAUAAUACCUACGGGUCAAAGCAGCAAUGCGCUUGAAGAGGAGUUCGCGGCAGAUUAGUUAGUUGGCGGGGUAAUGGCCCACCAAGACGAUGAUCUGUAUCCGGCCUGAGAGGGCGCACGGACACACUGGAACUGAAACACGGUCCAGACUCCUACGGGAGGCAGCAGUGGGGAAUUUUGCGCAAUGGGGGAAACCCUGACGCAGCAACGCCGCGUGGAGGAUGAAAUAUCUUGGUAUGUAAACUCCUUUCGAUGGGGAAGAUAAUGACGGUACCCAUAGAAGAAGCCCCGGCUAACUUCGCGCCAGCAGCCGCGGUA
rnacentral:rRNA from 1 species